rnacentral:rRNA from 1 species
CACGUAGGGCGCAAGCGUUGUCCGGAAUUAUUGGGCGUAAAGAGCUCGUAGGCGGUCUGUUGCGUCCGCUGUGAAAACUCGGGGCUUAACCCCGAGCCUGCAGUGGAUACGGGCAGACUAGAGGUAGGUAGGGGAGAAUGGAAUUCCUGGUGUAGCGGUGAAAUGCGCAGAUAUCAGGAGGAACACCAGUGGCGAAGGCGGUUCUCUGGGCAUUACCUGACGCUGAGGAGCGAAAGUGUGGGGAGCGAACAGG